UACGGGGGGGGCAAGCGUUGUUCGGAAUUACUGGGCGUAAAGGGCUCGUAGGUGGCCAACUAAGUCAGACGUGAAAUCCCUCGGCUUAACCGGGGAACUGCGUCUGAUACUGGAUGGCUUGAGUUUGGGAGAGGGAUGUAGAAUUCCAGGUGUAGCGGUGAAAUGCGUAGAUAUCUGGAGGAAUACCGGUGGCGAAGGCGGCAUCCUGGACCAUUACUGACGCUGAGGCGCGAAAGCUAGGGGAGCAAACGGG
rnacentral:rRNA from 1 species